GGUCAUUUAGGAAGGAAGUAAAAGUAGUAACAAAGGUCUCCGUUGGUGAACCAAGCGGAGGGAUCAUUCAUCGAGUUUUCCAACUCCCAAACCCUAUGUGAACUUACCACUUGUUGAUUCGGCGCGCGCUUCGGCGCCGCCGAGGACACUUAAACUCUUUGUUUUUAUAAGCAUUUCUGAGUGGCCGAAAGGCAAAAAUACAAAUGAAUCAAAACUUUCAACAACGGAUCUCUUGGUUCUGGCAUCGAUGAAGAACGCAGCGAAAUGCGAUAAGUAAUGUGAAUUGCAGAAUUCAGUGAAUCAUCGAAUCUUUGAACGCACAUUGCGCCCGCCAGCAUUCUGGCGGGCAUGCCUGUUCGAGCGUCAUUUCAACCCUCGAGCCCGACUCUUUUGAGGACGGCUCGGCGUUGGGGGACGGCAGACUCCCCCCGGCAUCUCGCCGGGGACGCCGCCCCCGAAAUCUAGUGGCGGCCCUCCGAGGCGACCUCUGCGUAGUAACUUGUUCUCGCACCGGAAAGCUCAGAGCGGCCACGCCGUAAAACCCCAACUUUUUUCAGGUUGACCUCGAAUCAGGUAG
rnacentral:rRNA from 1 species